UACGGGGGGAGCAAGCGUUGUUCGGAUUUACUGGGCGUAAAGGGCGCGUAGGCGGUCAGCACAAGUCAGUUGUGAAAUCUCCGGGCUUAACUCGGAAAGGUCAACUGAUACUGUGCGACUAGAGUGCGGAAGGGGCAACUGGAAUUCUCGGUGUAGCGGUGAAAUGCGUAGAUAUCAGGAGGAACACCAACGGCGAAGACAGCUCUCUGGGACGUUACUGACGCUGAGACGCGAAAGCGUGGGGAGCAAACAGG
rnacentral:rRNA from 1 species